rnacentral:tRNA from 1 species
UCUUAGUUCAACUGGUAGAAUAAAGGUUUUAAAAACUUUAGGUAGUGGUUCAAAUCCACUAGAGAAAU